CGAGUAACCUGCCCUUAACUCUGGGAUAAGCCUGGGAAACUGGGUCUAAUACCGGAUAUGACUCCUCAUCGCAUGGUGGGGGGUGGAAAGCUUUUUGUGGUUUUGGAUGGACUCGCGGCCUAUCAGCUUGUUGGUGAGGUAAUGGCUCACCAAGGCGACGACGGGUAGCCGGCCUGAGAGGGUGACCCGGCCACACUGGGACUGAGACACGGCCCAGACUCCUACGGGAGGCAG
rnacentral:rRNA from 1 species